CAGAAGGCAUCAAAAACUGGGAAGACAGCAGAUGCCCUGGCUGAAAUUCUAAGAAUUCACGAUGAACAGGAAAUCCAUGAUAUCCACACCAAGCGCACUACCGUUCUCCACGCCCUUCCUGUCUAUCUGCGUGAGGAUGUCUCUGGAUUUUUCAGAACCUGCACUGACGAAUCUGAUGAGUUGGAGCUUGAUGGUGUUGAAGUGGCCCUCUUCACUGUCAUCAGUGACCAUGACACGACAAGUCCAGUUCACUACCAACCUGUGAAAAUCUCUGUCGUCAUUGAAAGUGAUGCCGUGGUCAGUCUCCCCAGAUUUGGUGAAGCCUUCCUGGUAAUGUUUGGACUGAUCUAUGCACUUCACCUCAGCUACCCCAAAGCCCUGACCAACACUUUAGAAUUUACUCAAAAGAUUUUACUUGGUCUAGAAAGUGGUAAACUGUCACCCAGGUUACAGACCCUCAAGAAUGACUUGGUUAUGUAGGAACUCAUCUGAAAGAAGG